GAUGAACGCUGACCGAAUGCUUAACACAUGCAAGUCCACUUGAAUUUGGGUUUUUAACUUAGGUUUGGGUGGCGGACGGGUGAGUAACGCGUAAAGAACUUGCCUCACAGCUAGGGACAACAUUUGGAAACGAAUGCUAAUACCUAAUAUUAUGAUAAUAGGGCAUCCUAUAAUUAUGAAAGCUAUAAGCGCUGUGAGAGAGCUUUGCGUCCCAUUAGCUAGUUGGAGAGGUAACGGCUCACCAAGGCGAUGAUGGGUAGCCGGCCUGAGAGGGUGAUCGGCCACAAGGGGACUGAGACACGGCCCUUACUCCUACGGGAGGCAGCAGUGGGGAAUAUUGGACAAUGGACCAAGAGUCUGAUCCAGCAAUUCUGUGUGCACGAUGAAGUUUUUCGGAAUGUAAAGUGCUUUCAGUUGGGAAGAAAGAAAUGACGGUACCAACAGAAGAAGUGACGGCUAAAUACGUG
rnacentral:rRNA from 1 species